GGGCGUAUUGCAUUUCCGCUAAUUAUUCAAAGUCCCAAUACUACGUUUCCGCAAAUUUAAAGUAUACGUUUCCGCAAUUUGCAUUUAUUACUUUUCCGCAAAUUUACCUGGUAAAUUAUAAAGAUUUGAAUGUACAUAUGUGAUAAAAAAAAAAAAAAUUUAAUCAAACAAAUGUUCUGAUCUCAGUAUAGCUACAAUUUACUAGAUAUAACUAGUUUACUCGAGUAAGGAUGAGUUAAACUUCAUUGAGAAAUCUUUGGUUUGGCUUACUUGCCAACUGACAUGAUUAAAGAAUGCUUUGUUGAAUUAAUUGCCGAUGCUCCAUCUGAAGAUAAAUGCAUGAGGUCUACCGAUUAUAUAUUGGAAUUUCAUAUGGGUGGCAAUUAGAUUUCCACCAAGCAUUUGGGCAUCACCCCUGACCCCGAGGAAAAGAGAACAACGAAUGGUGUCGAGUCUUUUAGUGUCUACCUGUGCGAGCAGAUUUAAGCUUACCAUCCUACCAUAUUUGUCUUUGUCGAUGUGUUAUUGAAACUGAAGACAACAUCUUACAUAAAGAUGAGAACUCUAACUGUAAAAGCACCCGUUCGGAAGUAUGAAAAGGAGAAGAUGGACUUCCUUCCUAAACAAAACACAGAACUUGUAAACGGUGAAUGUGCUCCUAUGGUCUUUGCACGACGUGUUGGCUUCAAAUAUUCUGCCAGAACUGACUUAUGAACUCAUAUCAAGAUAUGUU
rnacentral:lncRNA from 1 species